rnacentral:rRNA from 1 species
UACGAAGGGUGCAAACGUUGCUCGGAAUCAUUGGGCGUAAAGCGCACGUAGGCGGCUUGCCAAGUCGGACGUGAAAUCCCUCAGCUCAACUGAGGACGUGCAUCCGAAACUGGCGAGCUUGAGUACUGAAGAGGAUCGCGGAAUUCCCGGUGUAGAGGUGAAAUUCGUAGAUAUUGGGAAGAACACCGGUGGCGAAGGCGGCGAGCUGGUCCAUU